GUCUAAGGCCAUGCCACCCUGAACACGCCCUAUCCUGUCUGAUCUCUGAAGCUAAGCAGGGUCAGGCCUUGUUAGUACUUGGAUGAGAGACCACCUAGGAAGACUGGGUGCUGUAGGCA
rnacentral:rRNA from 1 species